rnacentral:rRNA from 1 species
GUGGGGAAUCUUGCGCAAUGGGCGAAAGCCUGACGCAGCCAUGCCGCGUGAAUGAUGAAGGUCUUAGGAUUGUAAAAUUCUUUCACCGGGGACGAUAAUGACGGUACCCGGAGAAGAAGCUCCGGCUAACUUCGUGCCAGCAGCCGCGGUAAUACGAAGGGGGCUAGCGUUGCUCGGAAUUACUGGGCGUAAAGGGCGCGUAGGCGGACAGCUUAGUCAGAGGUGAAAGCCCAGGGCUCAACCUUGGAAUUGCCUUUGAUACUGGCUGUCUUGAGUUUGGGAGAGGUGAGUGGAACUCCGAGUGUAGAGGUGAAAUUCGUAGAUAUUCGGAAGAACACCAGUGGCGAAGGCGACUCACUGGCCCAAUACUGACGCUGAGGCGCGAAAGCGUGGGGAUCAAACAGGAUUAGAAACCCCAGUAGUCC